ensembl:lncRNA
AUGGGGGCACAGGCUUGGAAACCUUCCCCCUGUGCCCUGAUCAGGGCUCCUUUGGGGAAACCCAGAGGCCUGGGUUUGGGCACAGACCUGUGUGCUGGGGCGGGAGAGACACGGGCUCCUCCCUUCCCCCACGUUGUCCCUGAUGCUUCUCUCUCCACAGACCAUCAGCCCAGGCCCUCGGCGCUCGGCCACGGUCCCAGAGCGGGUGCGGGACCUGCACCAGGGCCUUUGUGCUGCAGGGUGUGCAGUGGUGGCUCUGGACCCAGGGGAGCGUGUGGCUGCCAGAUGGGAAUAUGUGGAUGGGCUGCUCCUGCCCCCUGCCCAGCGAGGAUGAGGAUGGAGCAAGGCAGGAGGAGGAUGGGCUGCUGCUCCCAGCUGCUGAAGGGGAAACCUCUGUCCCUGGUGUGUCAUCUGUAGGUGACCCCCUGGGCUAGGAGAGCUGCUCCAGCUGCCGUGGCUGCAGGCACCAUGCCUGUGGCUGCUGGGCUGCCCAGUCUCAGGUCAAAGGGGGUGCAAAAUGCUUUAGUGGUCCAGCGUGUCCUCUCAGCUGAAGAACAGGGAAGAAUGGAAGACAAUGGGGUUGGAGCUCUCCGAGGGCAUUUCCACUGCAGACUGUGAUCCUCCUGCUCCAUCAAGCCCUCGGAUUGGUGCAGCAGGGGCUGGGUCAAGCUUCACAAACUCACCUUUCAACACAGUUUUUGAUUCGCAAGGUUUCUUCCUCUUCUCCUCCCUCCUCCAUGCAUGUUUUUGCAUGGAGGGGACUGUUGGCGCAGGUCAGCAGCAUUGUUGGUGCAUGCCCCGUGCUCCUUCAGUGCUCACCGAGGGAGGAGUUGCCCAUGAAUCCCCCUUGGUCCCCAAAUCUCCUAAUCGGCCAUCCUGAUCUCCCAUUGCCCGGCUUUGGUUACAGAAAUGCUGAUGGUGUGUUUGCCAACAGCUGUGCUGCAUCACCUGUUGCCCCCACGGGUCCCUGGGUCUCUGGGACACAUGGCCCCCGUCAGCCCCUGCCAUGCAGCUUUGGUCUGUGUUUCUAUCCAUCCUGCUGGGAAAGGCAAGCCAGAGCCAAGCCCCUGGGUGCUGAGCUGAGGAGCUGGUGGCUGUGCUGGGCAGUCACGCACAUACCACGUACCAGAGGCAUUGCUUCACUUCUUGUGUAGAAAUGGGGAUGGCAGAUGUCGUAUUAAAUCAUGGGGUCAUCACUUAUUUAUAGGUGAUUACAUUAAAGAGAGAUUAAUAUAGCCAAAGGCUUCGCAGAAUUAAUGUACUUGUGUUUAUUAUAUUUGCCAACAUUUCUCCAAUCCAGCUGGGUUUUUCUGGCUGUGGGAUUUAACAGAGAGCCUGCUGCUGUUCCCCAGCCUUGCUGGGAGGGAGCAAGAGGCCCAUGGAAAACAUGUGAGAACUUUGAUCUCCGAGAGAUUAAUUUUAUUGCCUCCCUCUUUCUGAGGGUCCAUGGCAGGUGCUUGGUGCACAGUGAGGACAGAGCAGGGCAGGACUCAGUGGGGGUAAAGCUGUGUCUGGAGGGGAGCCCAGGGCUGGGUCUCCCAGAUGUCAUAAUCCCACAGCAUGGGAUUAUGCUGUGCUAAAUUGGGAUUAGAUUACUGCAGAUCUGGGCACAGAUUUCUGACACCCUGGGGGAGAUGGAGGUGUCCCUGGGCACCACUGGUGGGGGCAUGCCAGGCAUUCCCUUGGCCCCUGUGCCCCAGAGCCUGGUCUGGGGCUGGCGGGCACCCGUACACCCAUACAUAGGCUGUUGGUUGCCUGCUGCCAGCUCAGGGGGCAUCAGUGGAGACCCUCUGCCAAUGGAUGAACCAGAAGAGCCAAGAACACCCCAGGUUUGGCUGGAGGAGCAGAACCAUGUGGGAAUGGUCACUGGUUGUGCCAAGCAAGGCCAAAGGUGCAGUGGACGGAGGUGGGAGUCACUGCAGCUGCCUGGAUAUUUAUUAACAACUGCCUCUGAGAGCCAGAACAAAACCCAAUCUUUGGGAGACCAUCAAUAAAUUGUAACACAUUAGGCA